rnacentral:lncRNA from 1 species
GAAAAAUAAAGUUGUGGGUCGACUGAUUUAAAUCCUUAAAACCCACCAUAAAUCGGCAACGAUCAACGAUCUACCGGAGACGACUCUCGAGCAUCCAGCGACAGUUCCUCAUGGUCACGGUUGUAGUGGUAGAAACACCGUUGAGCAAGAUGCCCAAACCAUCCGUAAAUUUGGUACUGAACUCUAGAUCGGAACCCACGCCCACAGCCUCCAGAUGGGGGACGAGCACCACGAAUAGAGCCCCUAUGAUCGGUGAUGGAACAGUCUCCAAGAGAUUAACAUGAAAAGGUAUCUCUGGAGCCACACGCGCCUAAUGAUUCUCGUACUCAAGAAGCACUUCAACAAGUUAUUGAAAUUGAAAAGGUUCCGACGAGAACGAGGCGAGCGUAAUGACAGAAUCAAAAUUAGAGGGUAAGCCUACAAGCAGAGUCUCGACCUUCUCUUCUUCGGAGAUGCGCAAACCAGAGGCAGCUAUCAAAGCACUCAUAUUCUGAAUCUUGGCCACAAAUUCUUUGAUUGAAAGGCUGCCUUUCUUGAGGGAAAGCAAAUCGUGUCGAAUAUGAGCAAGCUUCGCAUCGGUGAGAGGAGCAAAAAGACGAGUUGUGGUAGUCCACAUAUCACAAGCAGAUCGAGCUUCCAUAAAAGAAGACAAAAUGGAAGGAUUAAUUGUGGAAAGGAGCCAUGAAGCUAAUAAUCGAUCUUGUUGCACAAAAGCUAAAGCAUCUGGAUUCGAAAUGAGUGAGCCUCUAGAGACUGCACAAACCGCGAUAGACUAGCCAAAGUGCCAUCGAGAAAACCGAUCAGUUUAUAACCCUCGACAAUCAUCCUAACGUGUUGCUGCCACUGAACAAACGUGCCUUCAUCGAGCUUGAUCAUCUCAUACCAUAGAAAAGACUGGACUAGCCGAGUACCAGUAAAUGCUAAAUAGCCAGGAUCAACGACGGACGAAUCAAUAGAAGCAGUGGUGGUCAUUGAGGUAGGUCCCAAAACACUUCUAGGCGACUGAUACCAUGUAAGCUACUAUGGUAAAUAUAAACAGAAUAAAAUAAUGUAUUCUGUAUUUAGACUUCUUAACUUGUGAAAUACAUUGAGGAGACUUGAAUUUAUAGAAUAAUGUAGUAACUGCUCAACCUAGCUGAUUAAGUAACAAACUAAUAGCUCAUAAAACUAACUCGUAAAACUGACUAACAACCAGGCUUAGCUAAGGUAUACUUGUAUUCUUAACACUUCAUGACUAAAUAAUGUUGCAAUCAAUAGAUAAAAGAUCAAAACUUAAUUACAGAUUAUUUGAGUCCUAAUUAUAUAUGUUCAAUCUGUCCUUCAGCUAGUUCAGUAUAACCUAAUGGUUUGCAUUUAAAUCAAUGAGAUGAAAAUAAAUGAGAAAAACAAAUUAGAGAAAUGGAUUGUAUGUAUCAAUAUUAGUAGUGAAUGUGUUUCCCAGCUAUGAGCCAAAAGAUGACUUAGAGAUUAAAUUAAUUUCUUUGAAUUAUUAUUUAUUAUUUAAUUGAAUGCAAUUAAAUAAUUAAAUUUUAAAGUGAAAAUUAAAUUAAUUAGUUAUAGCAAUUUUAUUGAAGAAGUUAAUUAAAUUUAUUUAGCCAUAAAUUCUAGUAUGGUAAAGGUGUCAUGACUUAACUAUGAGGUUUGUAUGGUGUCAUCAGUGGAUACCUUGGUUACGACCCCUAAAAAAAUUGUCAUAACUUCAAUAGAGUUAGAAUUGGGUUGAGAAAAUAAUUGAAUUAGAAAAUAAAUUAAAUUUAUUUAUUUACACAAAUAAUAUGUUGGGAAUAGAAAUUUGUUUAUUGAGUUGAUUAAAUUAUUGAGUUGGUUUAAAAACUAAAUAAUACAUAUAAUUAUACCUAAUACACAUGACAAGCCCAAAAUCCCAUAUUGUAACAUGAUGAGUGGCAACCCUAGAUCCCAUAGAUGGAACAAGGGUGUCGCCACUUAUAGCCUUUCUCAGUAGGGGUAGGUGUAUUUUUCUAUUAAAAUAAAUUUUUUUAUUCAACUAGUAUUUUUGUGAUUUCCUCUUUAAAUAGAGACCAUGGCAAUGUCAAAAGACAAACCACAUUAAGCUUUGACACUUUAUCAAAAUUUAGUGAGAUUUAUUCCUCUAAAUAAAUUCUAAAUCUUCAGAGAGUGCCUUUUAGUUUCUAGUGCUUGAGAGAGAUUGAUGUUUCCACUUAGCAUCAAUAAAGUUUUCAUUGUGUUCAUCGGUUCGUGAUUAAAGCCUACAUUAUAAGCAAGCAUAGGUGCGAGAAUAGUGGAAAAGAUCACUUUGGUCGAAAGCUGGGAACUUUCUUUACCACUUGUUCCAAAACAUAAGUAUAAAUUUAAUAAAGAGUUUAUUGCUAUAAAUAAUAUAAUAGUUCGGUUUUAGAAAAAUUAAUUAUUUUUUUGUCAUGCAACAAAAUUAUUUUCUAAACUGAAUUUUUUCAACAUAAAAUAUCAUUGAAUAAUAUAAUUUAUUUUAAUUAUGAAAAAAUAACUUUUUAAUUUUUCAAAUCAAGAUAAUGGCUGGUUAACUCGUGAUAUUUACUUAAUUAAAUAUUUAAAUAAUAGAAUGGAUAUUUAAGUUUUAAAGUUAGAGAAGAUAUAUGAGCAAUGAGCAUUCAGAUGCAGGCCCAAAAUGAACAUAAUAUAUAUACAGGCCCAGCAAACAUACAAGUCAAAGAGCAUCGGAAGUGGAUAGAGAUGAAUUUCUGGAAUUCAAUUUGAGGGUGGAGGACACGUGGCAGAAGGACCACCUCCCAUGUUUCUAGAAUUGAA